AUACGGAGGAUCCGAGCGUUAUCCGGAUUUAUUGGGUUUAAAGGGUGCGCAGGCGGCCAUUUAAGUCAGCGGUUAAAUCGUGGGGCUCAACCCCAUUCUGCCGUUGAUACUGGGUGGCUUGAUUGCGGUCGAGGUUGGCGGAAUUCGUUGUGUAGCGGUGAAAUGCAUAGAUAUGACGAAGAACACCGAUUGCGUAGGCAGCUGACCAGACCGCAAAUGACGCUCAUGCACGAAAGUGCGGGGAUCGAACAGGAUUAGAUACCCUGGUAGUCCGCACAGUAAACGAUGAAUACUUGUUUUCGGCGAUAUAAUGUCGGAGGCAAAGCGAAAGCGAUAAGUAUUCCACCUGGGGAGUACGACCGCAAGGUUGAAACUCAAAUGAAUUGACGGGG
rnacentral:rRNA from 1 species